rnacentral:miRNA from 1 species
GCUCUCCCUCAGGGCUUCCA